rnacentral:rRNA from 1 species
UACAGAGACUGCAAGCGUUAUUCGGAUUCACUGGGCGUAAAGGGUGCGCAGGCGGUCGCGUGUGUCAGGUGUGAAAUCUCCGGGCUUAACUCGGAACGGUCAAGUGAUACUGUCGGACUAGAGUACAGAAGGGGGCAACUGGAAAUUCUCGGUGUAGCGGUGAAAUGCGUAGAUAUCGAGAGGAACACCUGCGGCGAAGGCGGGUUGCUGGGCUGAUACUGACGCUGAGGCGCGAAAGCCAGGGGAGCGAACGGG